rnacentral:rRNA from 1 species
CAGUCGCCACGGUAAUACGUAGGUCCCGAGCGUUGUCCGGAUUUAUUGGGCGUAAAGGGUGCGCAGGCGGUUUAGUAAGUCUGAAGUUAAAGGCAUUGGCUCAACCAAUGUAUGCUUUGGAAACUGUUAGACUUGAGUGCAGAAGGGGAGAGUGGAAUUCCAUGUGUAGCGGUGAAAUGCGUAGAUAUAUGGAGGAACACCGGUGGCGAAAGCGGCUCUCUGGUCUGUCACUGACGCUGAGGCUCGAAAGCGUGGGUAGCGAACAGGAUUAGAUACCCCAGUAGUCCCUGUCUCUUAUACA